UACGUAGGGAGCAAGCGUUGUUCGGAAUUAUUGGGCGUAAAGAGCGCGUAGGCGGUUCGGUAAGUCUGACGUGAAAUCUCGGGGCUCAACCCCGAAACUGCGUCUGAAACUACAGGUCUAGAAUCUUGGAGGGGGAAGGGGAAUUUCGCAUGUAGGGGUAAAAUCCGUAGAUAUGCGAAGGAACACCAGAGGCGAAGGCGCCUUCCUGGACAAGUAUUGACGCUGAGGCGCGAAAGCGUGGGGAUCAAACAGGAUUAGAAACCCGAGUAGU
rnacentral:rRNA from 1 species